rnacentral:lncRNA from 1 species
GGAUGUUCCCCAAUCAAGGCUGCUCGGUGGGUUUCAGAAAUGGGAACACCCGUCCCUUCAAGCAUCCAUAGCGUGUGAACUGUAGGACUGUAGGGUGAAGGUCAUCCCAGAGCUCAGCAUUGAAACCAGCCGGAAAUUGUUCAGUUGGGGGAACUAGGGGAAAGGGAACAGUGAUGUGAAGGGCAGAGGCAGUGGUGGGAAGCCUGUGUGUGGCCGACGCAUGCUUUUACGCUGUCAUCACGGCCUUGCUUUCUAUAGCAGGGAUCUGAGAAGCAGGCAGGCAGCUGCUCUGCCUGAGACUGUCAGGAGUUGGUGGAUAUGAAUCCAUGUCUGAAGCCCAAGCUCUCGCUACUCUGCUGUCUCCCUGAGGGGUGCAUGAAGGCCCCAGCCCAGUCAGUGACACAGAGGUUGGGAAGACCAGGGCAUGAAGCUUCUGUGCUUGGAGAACAGGAGGGCUUGUGGAGCUGUGGUUGAUGGCGUGUCCAGGAAGCCUGGCCAGGGUGAGUAACAGGCCUUGUAUGUCAGGCUAAGAAAGUUGCCCUUGACAGUGCGGGACGUGGGGAGCCAUGGGCAGGUUUUCAGCAAGGACAUAAAGAGAUCAAUUCCAGGCUUUGGAGAGAGCACCAGGGUGCUGGGUGCAGGGAUAGGAGUUGGGGUGGGUACUGAGGGUGCCAGCCAUGAGGACAAUGGUGGCACCUGGAAGCAUGCAUCCCCAGGCUGUGGUGAGCAGCCCCGGGUGCCAGGCACUGGGCUGGGCACUGAAUCCCCCUUACCACACUGACCUGCACUACUGAGCUAUGGAGCUGGGGGUUGUCACACCAUCUGACGAAUAGGGAAAUGCAGGCUCCAGGUUCUGAGAGCAGGUGGAGUAAAGCACAUCCGCUGGGGGUGGCCCUGUGUGCCUGGCUCUGCGUCAGGCACUCGGGCCAUAGAGCCUCACCCAGUCUCAGAGGACACCGUGGCCUGUCUGCUGCUGCCCCUGGUGCUUCCUGGCAUCACUGGCUGGAAAGGAGGCUUUGGGGCCUCUGCACAUUUUCACCACCCCCCCAUCCUCUAAUACCUCUUUCCUCCUCCAUGGCUGGGCCUGGAGGAUCUUUGUUUCCAGCUGGGGUCUGGCAACAGCCUCACCACGAUGGCAUGGCGGUGGGCCCGGCCUCUACCCGCUGCGCCACAGCUCCUGGCUCCUGGCUCCAGGUCAUCUCUGCCCACAGCCAGCGUCUCUGAGCAGCCUUGAUUGGGAGGCGUCCUGUGCCCAUCUCGUGCCCCCCGUCCUUCUCCUGCGUCCGGGUUCUGGUUCUGCCGCCUCCUCCGCACGCUGCUCACCAGCCUGCUAAGUGGAUGUGAAUAAACAAUCAUGCAGGGUUUGGUGCAUUCUUUCC